AACCUGGCUCAGAUUGAACGCUAGCGGGAUGCUUUACACAUGCAAGUCGAACGGCAGCGCGAGAGAGCUUGCUCUCUUGGCGGCGAGUGGCGGACGGGUGAGUAAUAUAUCGGAACGUGCCCAGUAGCGGGGGAUAACUACUCGAAAGAGUGGCUAAUACCGCAUACGCCCUACGGGGGAAAGGGGGGGAUCGCAAGACCUCUCACUAUUGGAGCGGCCGAUAUCGGAUUAGCUAGUUGGUGGGGUAAAGGCUCACCAAGGCAACGAUCCGUAGCUGGUUUGAGAGGACGACCAGCCACACUGGGACUGAGACACGGCCCAGACUCCUACGGGAGGCAGCAGUGGGGAAUUUUGGACAAUGGGGGAAACCCUGAUCCAGCCAUCCCGCGUGUAUGAUGAAGGCCUUCGGGUUGUAAAGUACUUUUGGCAGAGAAGAAAAGGUAUCCCCUAAUACGGGAUGCUGCUGACGGUAUCUGCAGAAUAAGCACCGGCUAACUACGUGCCAGCAGCCGCGGUAAUACGUAGGGUGCAAGCGUUAAUCGGAAUUACUGGGCGUAAAGCGUGUGUAGGCGGUUCGGAAAGAAAGAUGUGAAAUCCCAGGGCUCAACCUUGGAACUGCAUUUUUAACUGCCGAGCUAGAGUAUGUCAGAGGGGGGUAGAAUUCCACGUGUAGCAGUGAAAUGCGUAGAUAUGUGGAGGAAUACCGAUGGCGAAGGCAGCCCCCUGGGAUAAUACUGACGCUCAGACACGAAAGCGUGGGGAGCAAACAGGAUUAGAUACCCUGGUAGUCCACGCCCUAAACGAUGUCAACUAGCUGUUGGGGCCGUUAGGCCUUAGUAGCGCAGCUAACGCGUGAAGUUGACCGCCUGGGGAGUACGGUCGCAAGAUUAAAACUCAAAGGAAUUGACGGGGACCCGCACAAGCGGUGGAUGAUGUGGAUUAAUUCGAUGCAACGCGAAAAACCUUACCUACCCUUGACAUGUCUGGAAAGCCGAAGAGAUUUGGCCGUGCUCGCAAGAGAACCGGAACACAGGUGCUGCAUGGCUGUCGUCAGCUCGUGUCGUGAGAUGUUGGGUUAAGUCCCGCAACGAGCGCAACCCUUGUCAUUAGUUGCUACGCAAGAGCACUCUAAUGAGACUGCCGGUGACAAACCGGAGGAAGGUGGGGAUGACGUCAAGUCCUCAUGGCCCUUAUGGGUAGGGCUUCACACGUCAUACAAUGGUCGGGACAGAGGGUCGCCAACCCGCGAGGGGGAGCCAAUCUCAGAAACCCGAUCGUAGUCCGGAUCGCAGUCUGCAACUCGACUGCGUGAAGUCGGAAUCGCUAGUAAUCGCGGAUCAGAAUGUCACGGUGAAUACGUUCCCGGGUCUUGUACACACCGCCCGUCACACCAUGGGAGUGGGUUUCACCAGAAGUAGGUAGCCUAACCGCAAGGAGGGCGCUUACCACGGUGGGAUUCAUGACUGGGGUGAAGUCGUA
rnacentral:rRNA from 1 species